rnacentral:rRNA from 1 species
CAGUUCGGAUUGCAGGCUGCAACUCGCCUGCAUGAAGUCGGAAUCGCUAGUAAUCGCGGAUCAGCACGCCGCGGUGAAUACGUUCCCGGGCCUUGUACACACCGCCCGUCACACCACGGAAGUUGGGAGUACCCAAAGUAGGUUGCCUAACCGCAAGGAGGGCGCUUCCUAAGGUAAGACCGAUGACUGGGGUGAAGUCGUAACAAGGUAUC